UACGUAGGGCGCAAGCGUUGUCCGGAAUUAUUGGGCGUAAAGAGCUCGUAGGCGGUCUGUCGCGUCGGCUGUGAAAACCCGGGGCUCAACCCCGGGCCUGCAGUCGAUACGGGCAGACUAGAGUGUGGUAGGGGAGACUGGAAUUCCUGGUGUAGCGGUGAAAUGCGCAGAUAUCAGGAGGAACACCGGUGGCGAAGGCGGGUCUCUGGGCCGAUACUGACGCUGAGGAGCGAAAGCGUGGGGAGCGAACAGG
rnacentral:rRNA from 1 species